GAGAAAAAGUCUACUCUGAGCUCAGGCAGUACUGACUGGUGUAAACUCCCUGGUCUUUAUGUGGAGGGACCGUAAAACAAAAAGUAGAAGGACAAACGAGGAAAGUCGGUGUAACGACAAUGAAGAAACUGCAUGUGUACAGGAAGUGUAGAGAAAGACUUCAAAUUCCAGCGGGCAAUGGAAUUGCAAACCUCUGCCACAGUACCGACUGCUUUCUACUUGACUCUGUUAUUUCUGGAUCUGCCUACCAGAGUCCAUAUUCCUCACUGAAGAUGGGGUUUAGGUAUUAUACAUCUUUGCUACUUUUUAAAAAACAAAGAACUUUGUACUUAAUAAUAUGCAUUUUGUAAAUAAACUAAUAAAUAUA